rnacentral:lncRNA from 1 species
CCCAUACACGUAAACCGAGGUAUAUAUUAUCUGGGAUAACUCACAAACCAAUAUAGGCCCACUAAGCCCUACAUAGUAUCUAGUAAUACUAAUUUUAAUAUUUAAGAUCAAUUAGUAAUAUAUUGACCAAAAGUCAACUCUCUGUCAACGGUAGGGUCCACAACCCUAUAUAAUUUGAUCUCAAACAUCCGUCAUGGAUUUUUGAUCCGUAACUUUUCAAGAGUCUCAUUAAUCUUCUAGAACAAUAUCCUAGAAUUUUGAAACGAUCCAAUGGUCGGAUCUCCGCCAAUCACUAAAACUAAGUGGCAGUCAACAUUUGAUUUUACAAACUUAGAAAUUCAAUUCAGGAAGAUCUGUACAUCGGAUUCCCAAUUCGUAGGUUCCUAAGAACCUCAAAUAUUACAUAUAAUAACAUAUUAAAGUUUAGUAACAAUCUAAUGGUCGGAUCGUCGAUCGUUAUAAUGAUCAAGUGGCAGCCUCAAAUGAAAAUAUG